AUGAGGCUGUGGAGAAAAGCUCAAACAUUCUUCUCAUUGUUCUCAAGUCUCGAAAGACCGUGCCAGACGCUGCACAGCCAAAACAACAUCCAGAGGAAGGCGAAGGACAAAAAAAAAGUGUGGCAAAACCAGAAAGGCCAAGCCGGGAGUAUUAGACGAGGUGUGCAAGCUGGAGCGCUAGAUCACAAGAGAGCGAAAGCGGCCGGAGGAAGCCCAGUCUCUCAGACGCUAGAAGAAGGAGGGGCCAGCUGCAGUGACCACGGACUACAUGACAAAAAAUGAGAGCCCUUCUGUAUGAUAUGAAAGGACAGAUGUAGAAAUGUAGGACCCCACCUCAGCCAGAAUGACUCAAGCCCAGACCCUCCUCUUCUGCCAGCCAGGGGAAUUCCUGGCAGAGUGAUUUUUAAACCUAAUGACUGAAUCACAUUGCCAGGGAUUUCCAAUGGCUCGUGUGAGGGACUCGACGCGGAGACUGCAGACACGGCAGAUAUAUGCAUUGCAAACACACACACCUGAACACACGAGACCCUAAUCCUGAAGGAAUGCAGACCGUCUCGUACAUGAGUUAGUGGUGACAGAAGUCCCAACUGACGUGCAUUUCUUUGCUGGUUGUGUGGUGUCAGGACUUAACCCACUUGUGAACACUGCAUUGAACUUCUUUGUUCACAGUGGUUAAGUUCUGCCAUCCUGAGACCCAUAUCAGCAAAAGGGAAGUUAAAGCCAAUUGUGCCCUCAAACUAAAUGCAUGCACACUGAGUACUGUGACAUGAUAUUCUCGUUAAUGUACCUGAAAAACUGCAUUAAAGAUGCACUAGAGACUAAUUCUAGGUUUGACUCUUCUUGCUGUCGUCAGUCUCAAGAUGUUGUGACAGGCCUGUUUUAUCUCGUCAGAAGUAAUCUUCAUCUCAGGUGUUUAGCACGAUAUGUAACAAAUGAGCCGUAGCCUGGGAAUAAAAAAACUUGGAUAAACA
ensembl:lncRNA